AACGAACGCUGGCGGCAUGCCUAACACAUGCAAGUCGAACGAGACCUUCGGGUCUAGUGGCGCACGGGUGCGUAACGCGUGGGAACCUGCCCUUAGGUUCGGAAUACCUCCCCGAAAGGGGUGCUAAUACCGGAUAAUGUCUUCGGACCAAAGAUUUAUCGCCUUUGGAUGGGCCCGCGUUGGAUUAGCUAGUUGGUAGGGUAAAAGCCUACCACGGUGACGAUCCAUAGCUGGUCUGAGAGGAUGAUCAGCCACACUGGGACUGAGACACGGCCCAGACUCCUACGGAAGGCAGCAGUGGGGAAUAUUGUACAAUGGGCGAAAGCCUGAUCCAGCAAUGCCGCGUGAGUGAUGAAGGCCUUAGGGUUGUAAAGCUCUUUUACCCGGGAUGAUAAUGACAGUACCGGGAGAAUAAGCUCCGGCUAACUCCGUG
rnacentral:rRNA from 1 species